CUGGGAUUACAGGUGUGAGCCACCACACUGGCUUACCAAGGCAGACAAGUUCAUCUUCAAGAAAACUAAGAGAUCUCUUCCCCUGACAAAAAACAACUCCAUGUUUGAUGGGACUCAGACCUGGGCUCUUCUGUCACCUCUAGGUAGGGAGGUCUUGGAGAGCAAGUGAGACCAGAGUGUUCAUGGAAAGUCACCAUCCACAGACAUUGGAAAAAUAGUCAUUCCCAAUUUCUGCUAUGUGAUCCCGUUUAGGAGUCACCCUACCAAGUGGGUAUGAUGAUGAAGGUGAGCUGCUAAGAAAGAGGUUGAGAGACAGCUGAUGUUUGUUUCAAGCAAAUCUUCUUUAACCCGAGGCACCAGGAGCAGAGGGCCAGUGGGUAAAAAGGUUAAGUAGGAUGGAAUCUACAAUAAAGCCAAAUGUGUGGGUUCUAUUGCUGAUCUUGUCGUUAUUUUGGAUUUUUGGAGUGGAGAUGAAAUGAAAAUGUUUGUUUUGUAUCUACCUGCCCAGGAUGUAAGUAAGAGGGAAGAACAAGACUCUAGGAGAGAAAUAGAGGCUCCCCUAAAAAAACACCUUAAGUAAAUGUCAGGUGAUGUCACCCAUAAAGUCUUCCAGCCAUAAUAAUUUCACCUGAAAGCUAUUUAUUUUGGAAACAGACAGAAAGCCCUGUCUGUUCCACUUUAAAGUUUCACAUUAAUACUCCCUCAUUUUCCGAUGUUAGAAUACUUCCAGGACUAUAGGUGAAAUAAGUCUACUAGAAGAUUAGCCAAACAUCUGUUUGUCUACAU
rnacentral:lncRNA from 1 species